CUGCAAAUUCUCCAAGGCAGAGAAUUCACAGUUUUGCAUAACACCUACAAAUCUUGAUGAGGCAUGUAUGACACAGCUCCAUGGAUUAUUUCACAAUGAAAACCUUCUUGGAAGCUAUGGGAACUGGAGCAUCUUGGCCUGGGCUUGACAUGUGACACCAAGAAUCUGGAAAACCUUGGUGGCUCUAUUGAGAACACUACAAAGCAAGUAGUGCUGCAAGACUGCUAUUGGGCCUCAGCAGACUGAUAAGGACAAAACCUCCUAACUUCAGGGUGAACACACUACAGAGCAUAACAAAGGUGUUUCUGAGGACAUAGACCUGAACAGAAGCUGAAUACCAACAGGAUCAAUGAAGAGCUGGUGCUUGUGUUAUAGCUGUCGCACGUCCAUGUUGGUGGUAAACCUUGGUUGUGCUUAUUGAUAUUAAGUUCUUCUUGUCUUGAGUUCAAAACAAUUUCUGUAAUUCUGUCAAAAUAUUCUGGUAGCUUUUUGUAAUGAACUAUUUUCUGAAUUUUGCAAUUGCUUCCUUAGUUCAGCUUUUUGAAGGUUGACACUUUUGAUUCUGGGGGAAGGAAGUGCAGAACCUGGGUUAGCUUUUUAUUUACAAGAAAACCAAGAAAAUUGUCUCUGUUCAUUGUAAUUUAGGAAUAAGGUGCAAAGAAGGUAGGACGCUUCCAGGGAAGUGGAACUAAGGGGAACUAAAGGUGAGGAAACUGCAUUACCAAGGACAGCUGUAGGUGACACAACAUCAACUUGAGUUAAAAUGGAAGAAGUGACCAUGGGCCAGAAUGGGACUGGUUUGAGCCAGCGUGUGAACUGCUUCUGAAUCUGCUAGUGCUCAGGAAGAGUAAGAGCAGAAUUAAGCUGUCAACUCCCUGCAGUGAGUCAGAGUUCUCUUAUGUGAGAGUUGAUGAAUGAUUCCUGCUAAGGAUCAUGAAAAGUGAAUGUUGUCCUGAAACGUCCAUUGAGGUGAAUCUCAGUUGCUCUUGGAUCGAACCUUGCCUGGAUCCAGUCCAUGAACUCGAGCAUCUUGUGGAGAC